rnacentral:misc_RNA from 1 species
GACACAUAUAACCUGUUGUACAAUAUCAGUGUCAUUUAUUCAAAACACAGACCAGAGCUGUUUCCAGUAGUUAUGCUGUAUAUAUACAUUGUUAUACACAUUGCAUACAGAAGUGAGAGAAGGAUUAAUUUGGUCAAUGUAAUUGUCCAAUUGUUUCAUGUGCACAUGAAUUUUAUUUGAUCCUUCAAAAUUAAAUAUUAUUCAUAAACCACUAGGUGAAGCGUUGAUUGUUCACCAUUAUGGUUUAUUUCUUCAUAUAGACGUGUACUACUUGUGACGUCACUACUUGUGACUCGGUCGUACAUAAACGAAUGACUUAUUAAUAAUAUACAUGUAUGUAUAUGACAAUCAAUGCUAAACUCUGCACGUGUAUAGGCGAGUAUGUAAAAAAAAAAAAAAUUUUGUCACAGAGCAAUUCAUUAUACAUACAGGUGUACAUAUUGUUUAACAUGAAAAAAAAAUCAUCACUUGAAAGUCUCUAUCUAUUUCCUUUCCUGUUUCUUAUUCAGUUCCUUUUGCAUGGAAAGUUAUAUUUAUUAAAAUUAACAAAAAGU